rnacentral:misc_RNA from 1 species
UUUACUUUGAGACGGCGACGCAGGUGGACGUGUCCGAGUGCGAGCGAAAAAGAGCGAUAAACGCGAGCGAGUCGCGUUAUAAAAUAAUACAAAAACAACAACAAGAGCUCAAUUCAGUUCAGUGUUUGCCUUUAGUUUUAUGGCGCACGCUGCGCGUCAGGUAGUUUUUCAGAUGUAUAUAUGUAUGUACACACGGGCAUAUAUAUCUAUAAUGUUUUUUGUGAUUCGUCUCGCGGCAAUGUUUUAUGGCUGACAAAACCAUCGAGCGUGUAAAGGUUUUGCACUAACCGUACGACAAAAAAGAAGUGGUGUACAUUCUGGAUGUAAAGUGCUAGUGUUUACCCUUUUUGCCGGGAUUACUCAUCACUCAUCAUCGCAUCGGCGCAUCAUUAUCAUUCGUUUACAAACGGGCAACUCUACGAUAUCCCAAAAACCAGUAUCGCUGUGCCCAAGUAUCUGCAACAUACGUGAGGCAGUCCAGACCACAUAUUGGAAUUUACCUAACACGUAUGCAACACGCACCCAUACCAGUUAACAUCGAGCGGUACCCAUUGGAUUUUGGAACCGAAAACUACAGGAAUUUUGCCUGAUAUUACGCUCCCAAUGACGACGACGACGAAAUCAACAACUGCCUGAGUCUAUUGGCCAACACAUCGGCCAACCCCAGAGGUUGGAGGCGCCGCCCCUCUUCACCGCCGGCACCAUGGACGCCAAGAAGCUGCAGCAGCUGCAGGAAGCAGCGAUCCUGGCGCAGCAGCAGAAGAAGCUGCCGCUCGCCUACCAGACGAAUCUCGUGGACUACCGAACGGCGGCCUACAGUCAGGCAUUGUACCAGCAAUCGCCCACGGCCACCAGUUCCAGCGGCGGCGGACCCCUGUCCCCGAUUGACAUGCAGCCGCAGUCCAAGCACCACAAUCUGAUGAAGCACGGCGGAGGAACAUCGAGCAGUUCGCACAGCUCCCCCUACCAUCAGUCUUACUCCAGCAGCGGGGGCACUGCGGCCGGGGAGCAGCUAUAUCAAUCGCCCACGGAGCGAACCUAUCUGGCGGCAGCUGGAAGAUUGCAGGCCAGCAAUGCCUUGGCCGGACAUCAUCCCAUUUCGGCACUGCAGUCGCAGUAUCAGCAGCUGCAGGCGGCCAAGAUGCAGGCGCAGAUGGCCACCCAAAGCGAGGCCGCCCAGCAGCAACAGCGGACAUUUGCCAUGCGACAGGCCAUGAACCCGCCCACAAAUCACUAUCACAUGAGUCAGUCGUCUAGCAUGGUCUCCACCAUGACCGCUCUCAAUCAGCAACAACAGCAGCAGCAGCAGCAGCAGCAACAGCGGGCUCCUCCCUCUUCGCUUAAUUUGCAAAAUCAAUAUCAGCCUGCUCAGGGUCCUCUGAAGUUGCAACAGCAGCAACAGCAGCAGCAGCAGCAGUCGCAGCAACCUGCAAUGCCCAAACACUACCAGGAGCAAUUGUACGCCCAGCAGCAACAGCUGCAACAGCAGUUGCAACAGCAGCAAUUGCAGCAACAACAGCAACAACAGCAGCAGCAUCGACACAAAAACGACUUGCAAACCCCGGGCAGUGAACACGGCACCGUUUAUAUUCAGCAAAAUCAUCCCAACCAUGUGGUGAACCAAGCCUGCCAGACCCAAAUAUCAGCAGUCAAGCCCAAGGCCACGCCCAGUUCGGAGGAGUCAUCUUCGAACUCGGCCAAAAGUCCCAGCCACGCUCCGUUGGAUCGAAAGAAAAGUGCCGGUUCCAUACAAGCCUUAAAGUCACCCAUUACGAAGAGACCACCAUCCACACCGGUGACCCUAUCGGGUUGGCUGCACAAACAGGGCUCCGAUGGCCUGAAAGUGUGGCGCAAGCGUUGGUUCGUCCUGGCUGAAUACUGCCUGUACUACUACAAGGGACCCGAGGAGGAGAAGCUGCUGGGAUCCGUGCUGCUGCCCUCAUAUCGCGUAUCCGCCUGUUUGCCCGAGGACAAGAUCUAUCGCAAGUGCGCCUUCAAGUGCGAGCAUCAGAAUAUGCGAACCUAUUGGCUGGCGGCCGAUAAUUCGGAGGCCAUGAUGCAGUGGGUGAGGGCAUUGGCGGCGGCCAGCUUGAUGCAGGCCCCCAGCAGCGGGGAAUCGGAGCCAAGUGUGAAUUCCUCGCUGAAUCACAGUGGCGAAAACUCCGAUUCCGGCAUUCACACAUUGCAAUCGCACCCUGGCAAAGGGCAGCCAACACCAUCGUCGGAAAAUACGGGCAGCAGUGGAGGAGGCAGUGGCAGUGGACAACCCCUAUAUGCAAAUGCACCACCCAAGCCGAGACGCAUCAACGAUGGGGGCUACUCAUCACCCUCACCCGAGCACAACGAACAGCAGCAGCAUCCACAUCCUAGUCGCCGUCUCAUGUCGCCCACGCAGCAAUUGUACCAGCAGCAGCAACACCAACGAUCUCAGCAGCAACAGCAGCAGCAACAGCAGCAGCAACCGCAGCAACAUCACGCCAUCUAUGACACUCGAACUGGACAUGUGUCCACCGCCUUGCAGUUGCAACAAGCGCAGCAGCAGUACUCCCUGGACCAUCUGGAGGCGCAGUUCCAGCAGCAGCAACUGGACAUGGAGGAGCAGAUUGCGCGGUUGCAGCAACAACGAGCUGCCGAGGAGAUCUACGGCGAGCGGGAGAUGUACAUGGCCAAGUUGAUGCAGCAGCGACAAGGUCCCAAUGGGGCAUAUCCCACCCAGCAGCAGUUGUUGCAAGCGGAACGAAGAACACCCGAUGCCUAUGGGCGCUCCAAGCAGCAGCGGCUCUUUGCCGCCGCAGCAGCUGCAGCAGACUACGAGGACAUCUACAACAUGUCGCAAAUGGCAGGAGGCGCCGGAGUUCCCAUGUCCGCCCAGGAGGCACUUCUCCAGGAGGCGGCCAGCUACCGCAGACCGCUGAGCCCUCCCAGCUACGAUGGCAGCAAGCAUGUGCCCGCAAUGCCGCAGCGGUACACGCCCAAUCAUUUAGAGGCCAGUGCCGCCGAUCAACUAAUCAAUACCAUGGACUUGCGUGCCCGCACAGCGGCGGCCAUAGUGCGUCCCCAUUCGGCGGAUUUCUUGGAGUACGAGGCACGUGCCGAGGCAGCUGCAGCCGCUGCGGCCGCGGCGGUGGCCCAAAGUCAGCAGGAAAGCGGCAGGGCACCGAGGCCCAAGUCCAGUUUGGACAUCAAUCGCACGCCGGACAGCUUCUACUACUCGGAGGCCAGCUAUGCGGACAAGAUGCGAAAGAGUGCGCUGUAUCUGCAGAGCGGAGGAGCUGGUGCCGCACAGCCGCAGCAGCCGGGCAGCUAUCGCACCACGGCGGCAGAUUUCAACUCUGGAGUGAACACCAUUGGCUAUGAGAACCCCUACGAGAGGGCCUACAAGCGGCAGGAACUUCUGGCCGAGGCGCAGGGUGGAGGGGCUAGCAGCAUGCCGCGGAUGAGCCGGUCCGCCAGUCAGGGACGCUCGGUGGCCUCCCAGCUGCAGUCGCCGCAGCAGGAGGAUCUGCCGCCACUGAAUGUUCAUCCGGGCUCCAUUUUCCCACCCUCGAUGUCCACCCAGGAGAUCAUUAGCAAGAACGAGCAGUUCCUGAGAUCCGCUAGUGCCCGUCUGCCCAAAAGAUCGGGUGGAAUGGACGAUGACUAUUCGGCUGGCAAUUCCACUACCACAUCGCCCACGGGUGGGGCAGGUGCCUCCAACUCGCCGCAGCACAAUUUGGAUGGCGAACGGAAACGGGAGGAGUCCAUGAAGCGUCUGCUGGAGUGGAAACAACGCAUGCUGCAGUCACCCUUGACUCGCAAGGGCAUACAACAGGGCGGCAGCAACAUGUCCGCCAUGUCCAAGUUGGGCAGCAAUCCAAACAUCUUGCUGGCAUCCACGGCGGUAGCCAGUGGAGCACGCUAUGCACCCCAGGCGGGAAAAACGGGCUUGGUGGGCAAUGGAAAUGGCACUGCCCAGGGGGCUGGAAAUCCACCAUCAGCAUCGGGCAUCCAGCGAUCACGAUCCGAGAGCCAGGCCAACGCGGGUCCCGGGGGAGUGGUGUACAACAACUACUCCUCGGAUGAUGAGGCCUCGAUUUCCGUGCGCAAUGUGAACAAUCUGCCUGUGGGAAAUCUGACGGUGAAGCCGGAUCCCUCGGAUGUCCAUCAGGAGUCCGCCUUUGCCCCUUACUAUGGUGGAGCGGCGGAGACUAAGUACGCCAAGAACACGGUGCUCACGGAUCGCGGUCUGUAUGCCGCAAACGGAUCUGGACUGGCCACAUCCACGCCCCAGAAUCAGCAGCAGUUCCGGAUGCGGCGCACCGGAAGUAGGGCGGAAAUCGAUAUGCUGGAGCGCGAGACAAGCAGCCAGAUCAGGAAUCGACUGCGGAGUGCCGAGGGUUUGACCAGAGCCGAAAGUAUCCAGCGAUUGGACUACUUGAAGCAGCACCUUCUGGACCUGGAGCGCCAUUACGAGAAGAGCAAGCCGCUGGUCAAUUUGGUGGACAACAUGGUCAAGUUGGGCUCGCUGUAUCGCAAUGAUGCAAAUGGCAGGGUCCAACCAGCCACACUGGAUCGCCUGGAGUUCAAUCAGCGGAUGCAAGAGCAGCAAAUGCUGCAAGAGGAGCAGCAGCAGUGGGAGCGUCUCAGUCCCAAUCAGGCAGAGUUGCAGGCCAAGGUGCGUGAGCUCUAUCAACUGGAUCAGCUGCUGCAGGAGGAGUCGGGCACUUUGCAGAGCUUGCAGCGGGACAAGGAGGACCUCGAGCGAGCCUUGGGAGGAUUGAGGGCUCGCAUCCACGACAGCAAUGCCACGCCCAUGGCCCUGGAGGCGGCCAAGAAACAGCAGCACAUCCUGGAGCGCGAGUUGUCGCGGGUUCAUCAGCUUCUGGCCGAGAACUCUAAGAAACUGGAGCAGACAGUGGCGGGAAAUGCUCGUCUGGAGCAGGAGUUACUCCUCCUCCGCCAGAAGGUACAGGCCACUCGAGGAUCCACCACCAAUGGAGUGAAUGGUGAUGGCUCGCACAUCAAUGGUGACCAAACUGCCGCCGUUUUAGCCUCGGAAUUGGAGCGAGUGCAGUCCCUGGUGGGCGAUAUGCAAAGACAGCGUCACGAACUCAGCUCCGCAGUUCGCCAGCUGACGGAGAACUCGACCAGGUUGUACCAGGAGAUUGGCAACAAGGAGAUGAACGGCGGUGGCUCCACCAAUGGCAGUCUGAAGAAGCGAAGCAACUCUACUAGUUGGACGGAAACCGAUUUGGAUGCCAAUAUGCUGCGAUGCGGAUCCCGUCAGCAGUUGAAUGAUUCCACUUUGAACCUAUCCACUCCCCUCUAUGUGGAAACAAAUAGUUCGAGCAAACUGAGUGACUACAAUCGAUACAAUGGCAGUAGCGAUGCCAUCGAGAUGAGUGGCGUGGACAGUGACGGUUUCCUGGACAGCAAUCCAUUCGCCAUUGGCUUGGAAAAGCCGGAGAUUAAGACGGUGAGGAUUGUGAAGCGAGAGUCUGAACGUCGCAAUCGCGAUCGCAGCGAAAGGGGUCUAAGCAACUCCAUUCAGAAUCUGGAUCAGGUCCUGGAGGAGGAGCAAUAUGCCCAACAGCAGAGGGAACAGCAGCUGUACGCUCAAAACAUGGAGGAACAGAUGACCAAUGGUCACCACAGUCGAUCCAAGUCACUACCCCGAAACUACAGUGAGCCCCCGAAGCAACGACACAGUCGACAUCUAAAUGGUGGCAAGCAGAAUGGUCACCACUACAAUGGUGGCUACGAUUAUGAUCGGAACAGCAACUACGAGCAUCAGCCGCCGCCACCACCGGCACCACAGAGCAAUGGACACCACCACAAUCAUCCACAAAGGGAGCAGCGGGAGCACCUUAAUCCACUGGCCAAUGCCUAUUUCGCCAAGCAGCUCCAGCAGCAGGCGAAUCCCUCGAGGGACAGUGCCCGUGUGGCCCUGCGGACCAAGACCGACUCCAUGCAGAGCCUCAACAAGAGCCUCACGGACAUCAGUCCGGAGCCAGUGUUCCAGAGCGUGGCUGCCCGCCAGAUUAUCAACGAAAUGUCCGCCGGUUCGGCAUCGGAGGACACCGAGAAGGUGGUGGAGAAGGUGCCACCGCACCACAAACAUCGCAGAGCGGUUCCAAGGGAAAAGCGGCGGCACUACACUGCCCCAAACAAUGUCAAUCAGAAAGCCAUGGAAAAGGUGCAGGCCGAAAACGACAUGAAUCGAAAUAACACCAACUGGCGAGCUCGCGAUGAUUUGGACAUGGAGGUGGCCCUAAGACCACGAAUGAAUGCUCCUGAUGUGGUUCGCUCCGCUUUGGGACAGGGAGAGAAGAUAUCCGAGAACACCAUAGAUAACUUGCUGCUGGCACCGAACAAAAUAGUCAUACCCGAGCGUUACAUACCGGAAACAACGCCCGAACUGUCGCCGGAGGAGAAGAAGCGUCGGCAGGAGAAGGUCGAGUCCAUUAAGAAAAUGCUGGCUGAGGCGCCCAUUAGCAGCAAUGAAAACGAGAGCCUGCCUCCGAGCAAAAUCAACGCCGAGAAGAAGCAGCGCGAGCACCUGCUGCAACUCAACCAAAUCCUGGCACAACAGGUGAUGCAGGUCAGCAAGAUCGUGGCCGGAAAUCCCACUAGUCACAACUAAUUCGCAAGUAGCCUGUCGAGUUGUUUCUGUUCACCUUUUGUGUUUUACAUACCUAUGCAUUGCAUUUAAUUUUUGUUCACGUUGUGUUUUUGCAAAUCUGAGAGGGUUCGCAUAACGAUACGCGAUAAAUGAGUUUGUUGUUCGAAACAUACCUAGUACGAUACACCUAACUAUACAGUAACAGCAAAUAACAGCAAACAAGAACACACGCGAAGUUGAGAUUUACAGCAUGCUAAACUCACAUAAAAACUCACCCAAUUCAAACGCAACAACUCACAACAAGAAUACUAAAAAAUACAGAAAAAUAUUAAAAGAACGACAACAAGAAUAAACAGCAACGCAAUAGCAACAAGAACAAGUACAACAACAAGCACAAGAACAAGAACAACAACAGAUAUACGAUUACAAAAAGCCAUGUCCAAGGCGGCCGAAAGAUCGAACCAAGAUGACGAAAACCGUUCGGAGUCACCAAGUGAACCACUGCCGAUAUUCCAG